CAAAGGACCUCCAAACUUCCAGUCAGUAAACGCAGACGUCUGAUAAACAAGUUAAUAAACUAAAACUUUCAACAACGGAUCUCUUGGUUCUGGCAUCGAUGAAGAACGCAGCGAAAUGCGAUAAGUAAUGUGAAUUGCAGAAUUCAGUGAAUCAUCGAAUCUUUGAACGCACAUUGCGCCCCUUGGUAUUCCGGGGGGCAUGCCUGUUCGAGCGUCAUUACAACCCUCAAGCUCUGCUUGGAAUUGGGCACCGUCCUCACUGCGGACGCGCCUCAAAGACCUCGGCGGUGGCUGUUCAGCCCUCAAGCGUAGUAGAAUACACCUCGCUUUGGAGUGGUUGGCGUCGCCCGCCGGACGAACUCUUCUGAACUUUUCUCAAGGUGACCUCGGAUUCAGGAAGGAUCC
rnacentral:rRNA from 1 species